UGGUAUAGCUCAGUAGGUAGAGCGCAUCCUUGGUAAGGAUGAGGUCGUCGGUUCAAGUCCGAUUAUCA
rnacentral:tRNA from 1 species